rnacentral:rRNA from 1 species
AAUGAACGUUGGCGGCGUGGAUUAGGCAUGCAAGUCGAGCGAGAACCGUAGCAAUACGGGGACAGCGGCGAAAGGGAGAGGAAUACGCGGGUACCUACCCUCGGAUCUGGGAUAGCCACGGGAAACUGUGGGUAAUACCCGAUAACGUCUUCGGACCAAAGGUGUGAUUCCGUUCGAGGAGGGGCCCAAGUCCUAUUAGCUAGUUGGUGGGGUAAUGGCCUACCAAGGCAAUGAGGGGUACGGGGCGUGAGAGCGUGCCCCCGCUCACUGGGACUGAGACACUGCCCAGACACCUAUGGGUGGCUGCAGUCGAGGAUCUUCGGCAAUGGGCGCAAGCCUGACCGAGCGAUGCCGCGUGCGGGAUGAAGGCCUUCGGGUUGUAAACCGCCGUCGGAAGGGAGGAAAUGCCUAGGGGUUCUCCCCUAGGUUUGACCUAUCUUCAGAGGAAGUACGGGCUAAGUUCGUGCCAGCAGCCGCGGUAA